AACGAACGCUGGCGGCGUGCUUAACACAUGCAAGUCGAACGCGAAAGGGACUUCGGUCCUGAGUAAAGUGGCGCACGGGUGAGUAACGCGUAGAUAACCUGUCUUUAUGUCUGGAAUAAUACGCCGAAAGGGGUACUAAUACCGGAUAUUUUUGCAUUGCAUAAGCAGUGUAAGCAAAGGUGGCCUCUGACAUAAGCUACUGCAUAAAGAGGGGUCUGCGUACCAUUAGCUAGUAGGUGGGGUAAAGGCCUACCUAGGCUACGAUGGUUAGCGGGUCUGAGAGGAUGAUCCGCCACACUGGCACUGGAACACGGGCCAGACUCCUACGGGAGGCAGCAGUGAGGAAUAUUGCGCAAUGGGGGCAACCCUGACGCAGCGACGCCGCGUGAGUGAGGAAGGCCUUCGGGUCGUAAAGCGUCUGUCAAAGGGAAAGGAAGUAGCAUGGUGGUUAAGUACCUUGCCUAUGUUUGUACGGUACCCGUUUAAACGGUAAGACAACCGGCGUAACCUACCGUUCGCCAGG
rnacentral:rRNA from 1 species